GGGCGGACCCAAACGGUCCAACGGGCCCAACGGGCGAAAAUUGUGGGUUCAAUUGGUUUUAAAUGGGCGGUCCGGGUAGAAAUGACUGGACCGCGGGUACCCUGACCCACCCGAAGCCCAUUUUCCAAAAGAUGUUGUUUUCAUAACUCAGCUCUCAUUUCCCUGUUCCCUCAUUUUUUUCACUUUAACGCAAACACUCUCUCUCUCUCUGUCUCUCAGAUGAAUGAAACCCUAUUAGAGCGAUCUCCACUGUUUCUCUUCUAUUUUCAUCAAUCACCACCACCGUUGCUCACCCUCAACUCCACCACAAGGAACCCCUAGCCAACCACCAUAGCACACAGUUACUCUCCUUCACCGACACCACUACUCGAACAAGAAGAACACACACCAUCUCCUUCUCUCACCGACCUUCAUGAACACCAUUUGAAGUUAAGAUCUUCGGUCUACCAUUGUUCUUCUUUCAUUUGCAAGAUAUUGCAGUUAUUGAAGAGGGCUUGUAUUCCAGUGGUUGGUUGAACAGAGGGCCAAAUUGAAGUUGUGAUCUUCGAUCUAAUUUGUUGUUUUGAUUUUUGAUAUUGUUGUUUUGAUUUAAACAAAUGGCUCAAGGUCAAAGUAGCAGUAUGGAAAAAGUUUUAGAGUUGGGGCAAUGUAACUGUAAGUGUAUUAAACUCCUUUCAAUAUUGUUUGUAUGAUGGAUCAAGGUCAAAGUAGCAUGGAUGAUUGGUUAGUUCACAAUUUUGUAUGGGCUUGACAUUUCAUUUGAAUGUGUUGUUUGAUUGUUUAAGCUAGGUAAAAGAAUGGUCUAUAAAGUUAUUCUCUCCUUUGUUGUUUGGAAUCAAUUACUGUGUUUCUGGAUUUCUUAA